rnacentral:rRNA from 1 species
GACGAACGCUGGCGGCGUGCUUAACACAUGCAAGUCGAACGGAAAGGCCCUGCUUUUGUGGGGCGCUCGAGUGGCGAACGGGUGAGUAACACGUGAGUAACCUGCCCUUGACUUUGGGAUAACUUCAGGAAACUGGGGCUAAUACCGGAUAGGAGCUCCUGCUGCAUGGUGGGGGUUGGAAAGUUUCGGCGGUUGGGGAUGGACUCGCGGCUUAUCAGCUUGUUGGUGGGGUAGUGGCUUACCAAGGCUUUGACGGGUAGCCGGCCUGAGAGGGUGACCGGCCACAUUGGGACUGGGAUACGGCCCGGAUUCCACGGGAGGCAGCAGUGGGGAAUAUUGCACAAUGGGCGGAAGCCUGAUGCAGCAACGCCGCGUGCGGGAUGACGGCCUUCGGGUUGUAAACCGCUUUCGCCUGUGACGAAGCGUGAGUGACGGUAAUGGGUAAAGAAGCACCGGCUAACUACGUG